UUCCGUAGGUGAACCUGCGGAGGGAUCAUUACUGAGUUUACGCUCUACAACCCUUUGUGAACAUACCUAUAACUGUUGCUUCGGCGGGUAGGGUCUCCGUGACCCUCCCGGCCUCCCGCCCCCCCGGGCGGGUCGGCGCCCGCCGGAGGAUAACCAAACUCUGAUUUAACGACGUUUCUUCUGAGUGGUACAAGCAAAUAAUCAAAACUUUUAACAACGGAUCUCUUGGUUCUGGCAUCGAUGAAGAACGCAGCGAAAUGCGAUAAGUAAUGUGAAUUGCAGAAUUCAGUGAAUCAUCGAAUCUUUGAACGCACAUUGCGCCCGCCAGCAUUCUGGCGGGCAUGCCUGUUCGAGCGUCAUUUCAACCCUCAAGCUCUGCUUGGUGUUGGGGCCCUACAGCCGAUGUAGGCCCUCAAAGGUAGUGGCGGACCCUCCCGGAGCCUCCUUUGCGUAGUAACUUUACGUCUCGCACUGGGAUCCGGAGGGACUCUUGCCGUAAAACCCCCCAAUUUUCCAAAGGUUGACCUCGGAUCAGGUAGGAAUACCCGCUGAACAUUAAGCAUAUCAAUAAGCGGAGGAA
rnacentral:rRNA from 1 species